ensembl:lncRNA
CACAUGUUCUACCAAUGAGUAACUAAUAACCCUAAUUUCCUUUUCAGGACUGUAGAUGUCAUGUCACUCCCUUUCUUCCCCAGGUGUUCAGCUCCCGACAGGCACUGAAUGGCCAUGCCCGCAUCCACGGUGGCACCAACCAGGUGACCAAAGCUCGGGGUGCUGUUCCCUCUGGAAAGCAGAAGCCUGGCAGUGCCCAGAGCGGGUACUGCUCAGUGAAGAGCUCACCCUCUCACAGCACCACCAGCGGCGAGACAGACCCCACCACCAUCUUCCCCUGCAAGGAGUGUGGCAAAGUCUUCUUCAAGAUCAAAAGCCGAAAUGCACACAUGAAAACUCACAGGCAGCAAGAGGAACAGCAGAGGCAGAAAGCCCAGAAGGCGGCUUUUGCGGCUGAAAUGGCAGCCACGAUUGAGAGGACUACGGGGCCGGUGGGGCCGCCGGGGCUGCUGCCCCUGGACCAGCUGAGUCUGAUCAAACCCAUCAAGGACGUGGACAUCCUCGACGAUGACGUCGUCCAGCAGUUAGGAGGCGUCAUGGAGGAGGCCGAGGUCGUGGACACCGGUCUCCUCUUGGAUGAUCAAGAUUCAGUUUUGCUUCAGGGUGACACGGAACUCUAAAGCCCUGUGUGUUGCUUGGAGACAGCGAAAACCCACGGUCUCCAUCCUCAUUCAUCAGGAAAGCUGGACUGUCUGCUUGUUUUGUAACCAUGUUAAACUACCUGUUUAAAAAGUGGUCGUUUUUUUCAGGUUUAGAAAAAAAUCGGGGUUUUUUCCUUUUAUUUAAAAACAAUUGUUUUGUGGGAGGUUGGGGGGGAAUAAAUAAUUGGCACAAUCCUACUUUAAGAUGUGUUUCAUCUGGGCUACAUUCCCAUGAACUCAUUCCUGGUUGGGAAUGAACCUGACGUUCAUGUUCUUUUGCUUUCAGAUGCCAACCAUCCUGGUUGCCUUUUUAUCCCAAAGCGUGCAUGGGUGAGUGAGUGAGAGAGUCUGUGUGCGUGUGCGUGUGCGUGUGCGUGUGCGUGUGUGUGUGUGUGUGUGUGUGUGUGUAAAGCAGGCUACCCUCUUUGUGCUGGAGUCUUGGGCCAUCCUUUCCCACCAAGAGUCAUUUUUGUGCUGACCUCAUUCCGCAGUUUGCAGUGAACUUGGCGUCUUUGCCGGGAGACCAUGCUAGGAAGUAGCUUUCCAGUGAGCAAAGGCAGCCCUGUGUUCAACAGCUUUCUUCUAGCACACACGUCAUUUGAAGAGUUGACCAAAUGUGAAAGUCAUUUUUCUCCCUGCCCUGCCUGUCACUCGGCCUGUUUCUGAAAACUGAGCGCUGUGUCAUUUCAGGCUUUUCCUCCCUGGCCGUGAUUUACUAAGAAGGUGAUUCAGGGAGCAAGUGCGUCCUCUUCCUAGUUCCGUGAAGACCGGUUGACUCCAAUUCAUGGGUUAGCAGGAUCCCUUGGAUUUCCAAGAACUCAGAUCUUCUAAAUUUCACAUGCUUCUCUUCCAGUUGGCCUGAGCCGACUGGAAAUCCGUCUGGAGGAAAAUAACCCCAACUAUUAAGUUGCCAGGGCGUUUUCAGGGAGGAUGGUGGAGGAGCGCAGAUUAAAGUCCCUGGAAUGCCAGCAGGCCCAAAAACUAGAUCAGAAGAGCUGAU